GCUGGCGGCGUGCCUAACACAUGCAAGUCGAACGAGAAAGCCCGGCUUCGGCUGGGCAAGUAAAGUGGCGUACGGGUGAGUAACGCGUAGGUAACCUGCCCCUGUGUUCGGGAUAACAGUGCGAAAGCGCUGCUAAUACCGGAUGUGGCCAUUUGACGGUGGUCAGAUGGUCAAAGUCGGCCUCUCGAUGAAGCCGGCGCGCGGGGAUGGGCCUGCGUCCUAUCAGCUUGUUGGCAGGGUAACGGCCUACCAAGGCUUCGACGGGUAGCUGGUCUGAGAGGAUGAUCAGCCACACUGGCACUGAAACACGGGCCAGACUCCUACGGGAGGCAGCAGUGAGGAAUUUUGCGCAAUGGCCGCAAGGCUGACGCAGCAACGCCGCGUGGGUGAAGAAGGCCUUCGGGUCGUAAAGCCCUGUCAGGUGGGAAGAAUGACCAAAGGAUGAAUGAUCUUUUGGUGUGACGGUACCACCAGAGGAAGCACCGGCUAACUCCGUGCCAGCAGCCGCGGUAA
rnacentral:rRNA from 1 species